rnacentral:rRNA from 1 species
AUUGAACGCUGGCGGCAGGCCUAACACAUGCAAGUCGAGCGGAUGAAGGGAGCUUGCUCCUGGAUUCAGCGGCGGACGGGUGAGUAAUGCCUAGGAAUCUGCCUGGUAGUGGGGGAUAACGUCCGGAAACGGGCGCUAAUACCGCAUACGUCCUGAGGGAGAAAGUGGGGGAUCUUCGGACCUCACGCUAUCAGAUGAGCCUAGGUCGGAUUAGCUAGUUGGUGGGGUAAAGGCCUACCAAGGCGACGAUCCGUAACUGGUCUGAGAGGAUGAUCAGUCACACUGGAACGGAGACACGGUCCAGACUCCUACGGGAGGCAGCAGUGGGGAAUAGUGGGCAAUGGGCGAAAGCCUGAUCCAGCCAUGCCGCGUGUGUGAAGAAGGUCUUCGGAUUGUAAAGCACUUUAAGUUGGGAGGAAGGGCAGUAAGUUAAUACCUUGCUGUUUUGACGUUACCAACAGAAUAAGCACCGGCUAACUUCGUG